rnacentral:rRNA from 1 species
CAGCAGCCGCGGUAAUACGAAGGGUGCAAGCGUUAAUCGGAAUUACUGGGCGUAAAGCGUGCGUAGGCGGUGAGUUAAGUCUGCUGUGAAAUCCCCGAGCUUAACUUGGGAACUGCAUUUGAAACUGGCAAGCUAGAGUCUUGUAGAGGGGGGUAGAAUUCCAGGUGUAGCGGUGAAAUGCGUAGAGAUCUGGAGGAAUACCGGUGGCGAAGGCGGCCCCCUGGACAAAGACUGACGCUCAGGUGCGAAAGCGUGGGGAGCAAACAGGAUUAGAUACCCCUGUAGUCCCUGUCUCUUAUAC